GCCUUUUCCAACAUGGCUGUUUUUAUGUUGUUGCUCUAUUUUCAUAUAUAGACAAGAAGAAAAACUAAAUUUAAAAUACAAAGUAUUUUUAAAUCACUGUAUGUUCAUUGAAAAUGAAAAUUAUUUUUAAGAGAAACAGUAAGAUUUUGUCAUAUCAAGCAGAACCUUGAAUGCUUACAAAACAUUUUUCUAUUUAAGGACUUGGAGGAACAGAAACUUCUGCCUGCAAAGGACUGGGACAAAGAGGCAGAUAAAGACCAGCCACCUGCUUCCAGCAUUGUGAGUAACCCUAUGCUUCUCCCACCGACCUUGACCACUUUUCAAAUGAUGAAAAGUAACUUAACAUUCC
rnacentral:lncRNA from 1 species